rnacentral:rRNA from 1 species
AGAUGGCGACCGGCGCACGGGUGAGUAACACGUAUCCAACCUGCCGAUAACUCGGGGAUAGCCUUUCGAAAGAAAGAUUAAUACCCGAUGGUAUAAUCAGACCGCAUGGUUUGAUUAUUAAAGAAUUUCGGUUAUCGAUGGGGAUGCGUUCCAUUAGGCAGUUAGUGAGGUAACGGCUCACCAAACCUUCGAUGGAUAGGGGUUCUGAGAGGAAGGUCCCCCACAUUGGAACUGAGACACGGUCCAA